GGCUACAUGGCCGAGCGGUAAGGUGGGGAUUGCAAAUCCCUUAUUCUCCAAUUCAAAUCCGGGUGUCGUUU
rnacentral:tRNA from 1 species